rnacentral:rRNA from 1 species
UACGGAGGGAGCUAGCGUUAUUCGGAAUUACUGGGCGUAAAGCGCACGUAGGCGGCUUUGUAAGUAAGAGGUGAAAGCCCAGAGCUCAACUCUGGAAUUGCCUUUUAGACUGCAUCGCUUGAAUCAUGGAGAGGUUCAGUGGAAUUCCGAGUGUAGAGGUGAAAUUCGUAGAUAUUCGGAAGAACACCAGUGGCGAAGGCGGCUGACUGGACAUGUAUUGACGCUGAGGCGCGAAAGCUAGGGGAGCAAACGGG